rnacentral:rRNA from 1 species
AUUGAACGCUGGCGGCAUGCCUUACACAUGCAAGUCGAACGGUAACGCGGGGCAACCUGGCGACGAGUGGCGAACGGGUGAGUAAUGUAUCGGAACGUGCCCAGUUGUGGGGGAUAACUGCUCGAAAGGGCAGCUAAUACCGCAUACGACCUGAGGGUGAAAGCGGGGGAUCGCAAGACCUCGCGCAAUUGGAGCGGCCGAUAUCAGAUUAGGUAGUUGGUGAGGUAAAGGCUCACCAAGCCGACGAUCUGUAGCUGGUCUGAGAGGACGCACAGCCACACUGGGACUGAGACACGGCCCAGACUCCUACGGGAGGCAGCAGUGGGGAAUUUUGGACAAUGGACGCAAGUCUGAUCCAGCCAUGCCGCGUGCGGGAAGAAGGCCUUCGGGUUGUAAACCGCUUUUGUCAGGGAAGAAACGCUCUGGGUUAAUACCUCGGGGUAAUGACGGUACCUGAAGAAUAAGCACCGGCUAACUACGUGCCAGCCGCCGCCGUAAAAC